AGCUCUAAUAGCGUAUAUUAACGUUGUUGCAGUUAAAAAGCUCGUAGUUGGAUUUUGGGAUCGAAGCGCUGGCCGGCCGUAAGGUCAGAGUUGGUGGUUUGGUUCUUCCUUCCAGAAAUCCAGUGCUUCCGCUUAAUCGCGUGGUGCUGGGGUCUGGGACAUUUACUUUGAGCAAAAUAGAGUGUUUAAAGCAGGCUAACGCCUUGAAUACAUUAGCAUGGAAUAAUCUUAUAGGACUUUGGUUCUAUUUUGUUGGUUGAAGGACCGAAGUAAUGAUUAAUAGGGAUAGUUGGGGGCAUUCAUAUUCGAUUGUCAGAGGUGAAAUUCUAAGAUUUAUGGAAGAUGAACUUCUGCGAAAGCAUUUGUCAAGGAUGUUUUCAUUAAUCAAGAACGAAAGUAG
rnacentral:rRNA from 1 species